UUUAGAUUUCCGGAAAACCAGGUUUUUGUUUUGGAGUACCUCUGUUUGAUGGUCAGUUAUUUUGUUAGAAGGCUUUAAAGGUAUGGUGAAAAUUGGCAUGUAGAAAGCUGAUACAUGUACAAUUAAGGAUAUACCUGGUUUCUAUGAAGUUAAACUUAAGGUAAAAUAUUUAGAAAGCUGUGAAACCCAAAAUUCAGAAAACAAUUGAUUUUUUGGUCUUAACUGGUCAUUUGAAAUAAUAGUAGUCACAUUUUAAUCUUUUUUGGAGCAAAAAGUCACAUAUUGCAAAUUUAGAGCCUUAAACCUGAAUGUGUGCUAUUUUUAGCUUUUCCCACCCUGACAAUAUGCUUUCAUAUAAAAAAUGUUAUAAAUUGUUAUAAAUGCACAGUAAGUUGUUUCUGUGGUGUUAAACAUUUAAACAUAGGUUGAUUGCUACCCCAAAAAAAUUGUCGUCAUGAAGAUUUGAUGAAAUUAUUUGAUUUUUACCCCUUAUAUCAUUGCGGCAUACCAUGUAUAUGGCAGUUAACAUAGCCUGAUAUAAAC
rnacentral:lncRNA from 1 species